rnacentral:lncRNA from 1 species
GUGAAGGUGUGCUGCUGGCUUUGCCUGCUCAAAGAAAACUACUUCUGGUGGGUCACAUGAACAGAGAUGGGAAAGUGUUUCCCAGAUCAAUAGCUACAUGCCAGUUAUAAGUGAAUGUUCUAAUUUUCUUAAGCAAUGAAACCACAUCUGGUAUAGCACUGCAGUUGGAGUCAACACCUGAUUAAGCUUAUAGGAAGUCAUUGUUAUUCUCCAAGAUCCAUCUCUCUCCUGUAUAGGCAAUAGGUGAGUCAAAUGGGGAUGCAGUGGGAAUUCCACCCUGUGUCCUUCAAGUCCUUGAAAGUGGCACUAAUCUCUGCAGUCCCACCAAGAAGGGGUAUUACUUUGGUUUGCAAUUUUUCUAUGUUAAGGCAAUUCUGGUAGCUUUCAUUUGGCUUAACAUAGUUGUUUAAUUCCAUAUGUCAGGAAGUCACUGUGGCGAUUCUGCUAGCUACUAAGUGCACCUAUUCCAACUUUUGCAUUCCAUAACUGGGGAAAUGACCAUGGUGUGGGUUUGGAGACUCACUAGUUCCACUGUGAAAUGUGUGUAAACUGAAAUUCCACCGAUCACCUGACCUCUCUUAGCCUUUACUCUGACAGUUGGGCCACAGUGAUGUUUCUGGUCUCUUGGAAUCAGCGCCAGUUCAGUGCCAGUGUCUAGUAGACCCUGAAAGAUCUGAUUAUUUCCCUUUUCCCAAUGCAGUUACCCUGGCCAGAGGCCAUAUUAUAGGUCCCUUUGGGGAAGACUGGGAGAAAGAUUUAACAGUAUAAAUUUUUCACAAU